rnacentral:rRNA from 1 species
UAAGUGAAGAGUUUGAUCCUGGCUCAGAUUGAACGCUGGCGGCAUGCCUAACACAUGCAAGUCGAACGGAAACGAUGGAAGCUUGCUUCCAGGCGUCGAGUGGCGGACGGGUGAGUAAUGCUUAGGAAUCUGCCCAGUAGUGGGGGACAACAUCCGGAAACGGAUGCUAAUACCGCAUACGCCCUACGGGGGAAAGCGGGGGAUCUUCGGACCUCGCGCUAUUGGAUGAGCCUAAGUCGGAUUAGCUUGUUGGUGGGGUAAUGGCCUACCAAGGCGACGAUCCGUAGCUGGUCUGAGAGGACGAUCAGCCACACCGGAACUGAGACACGGUCCGGACUCCUACGGGAGGCAGCAGUGGGGAAUAUUGGACAAUGGGCGAAAGCCUGAUCCAGCAAUGCCGCGUGUGUGAAGAAGGCCUGCGGGUUGUAAAGCACUUUCAGUAGAGAAGAAAAGCACAGGGUUAAUAUCCCUGUGUCUUGACGUAACCUACAGAAGAAGCACCGGCUAACUCCGUGCCAGCAGCCGCGGUAAUACGGAGGGUGCGAGCGUUAAUCGGAAUUACUGGCCGUAAAGCGCGCGUAGGCGGCUAAGUAAGUCGGAUGUGAAAGCCCAGGGCUUAACCUUGGAAUUGCAUUCGAUACUGCUUGACUAGAGUAUGGUAGAGGGAAGUGGAAUUUCCGGUGUAGCGGUGAAAUGCGUAGAUAUCGGAAGGAACACCAGUGGCGAAGGCGACUUCCUGGGCCAAUACUGACGCUGAGGU